rnacentral:rRNA from 1 species
AUGGAUCGUCUUAUCAUGGAUGACGUCCUCGCGACGCCGAUCACCACACAAUCAUCAUGUUGCGGCAUAGCACCGCAACUAACCAUCAACGCCAUCGUGCCGCCAACAGCGCCCACCUUGCGCCGUCUUGCCGUGGACGACGCUGUCGCGGCGCCGAGUACCACGACCUCUUGCCGCAUGCAGCGGCCAUGUCUUCACGUGGACGACGCCUUCGCGGCGCCGAUCGCCACGCCGUCUUCUCCUCAUAACGGCCUCGUGCCAUCGUACCUCCCAUCGGCGUCACACCGUCGUCUUGUGGCAGCUUCACACCGCCAUCAUCUAGCGGCAUCACACCGCAACCGGCCACCGGCAGCAUCGCGCCGCCGACGGCCACCCACCUCGUGCCAACGUCCUCCACCUCACAUGGAGUCCGCCGCGUCGUCGUCGCCGCCAUCGCUUCUGCGGAUCGACAAGGCUCUGAUGCCAAUCGUUGGCGCCGCCUCCUCGCAGCGCCGCUCUUCUUCUUCUACCUCGAGCUGCCUCGCACAACUCUCUCUUCUCUCUUCUAUGGUUUCUCUCAAGAACACCUGA